rnacentral:rRNA from 1 species
AUGGCCGAGACCGCCCUCGGUGCCGCGCAAUGGGUGGUGCGCAAGGCGCUAGUCCCCGUUGCGGAUGGCGUGCUGGAGGCUUGGGCGGCCAGCAGGACAUUUGGUCUCAACAUCCAGGCCCUCAGAGCGGAACUGGAGAAGGUGCAGGCCACGCUCGAAAUAGCUGCCACCAAGGAGCUCCCCGGGCUUGCCACGGAGAAGAUGCUGCAGAAGCUGUGGGACUCGGCGCACAAUGCCGAAGACUUGCUGGACGAGCUGGACUACUUCCGCAUCCACGACGAGCUUCACGGCACGUACGAUGCUGCCGACCAGCCCGGCGACGGUGUCCUUCGUGACCUCGCCUGUGAUGCUCGCCACACAAUCAAAGAUCUUGGCAAACUGAUCAACUGUUUCCCAUGGCAGCGUGCUGAGCUCCAGCAGAGGUCAUGUGGCGAUUCGUUCUCAGCAUCAGACACCAACCAGAAGGUCAGCGGAUGCAUGUCCAGCCUCGGUAAACUGCUCCUUUCCUCAUGUUCUCCACAUCCACAUGUUCGUGGUGAUGAAGAUCGUGGCAAUGCGCAAGAAGAACCAAUGCCUGAGUUUAAUAGGGCUGAUUUCUCCCAAAGGAUGAGGGACACUGUAGAGCAACUAAAGCUUAUGCGUAAUGAUGUUAAGGAUAUUCUGCAGACUUGUGGCCCUAGAACUGUCCUAGACAUUGCUCAGCGUCGUGCCACCACCACACCUCAGAGUGCAGAGCCAAAACUGUAUGGGAGGGACCAUGUCAUGAAUAAUUUGAUACAUGAUAUCACCGAGGGUCAAUACUGUGACAAGGGUCUAACUGUGCUUCCGGUUAUUGGUCCGGGGGGAAUGGGGAAGACAACUAUGAUACAACACAUAUAUAACAACCAACAAGUGCAGAAUCAUUUUCCAGUCAGGAUUUGGAUAUGUGUGUCGUUCAAUUUCAACCUGGGUAAGGUGCUAGAACAGAUUAAAGAAGAUACCCUUACGGUGGAAGGUGAAAAUGGGUGUAGUACAACACAAGAGCUGAUUGAACACAGAUUGAAACACAAAAGGUUCUUACUUGUAUUGGAUGAUAUAUGGCAGUUUAAUGAUGUGGAUGACUGGAAAAAACUAUUAUUGAUACUCGGCAAGUCACAAGAAAAGGGUUCCAUGAUUCUAGUCACAACUCGGCAAAAAGAAAUAGCAGACCAGGUUAAGAAAAGUGCAGAUCCAAAAGAACUGAACGGUUUAGAACCUGGAGAGUUUAAGAAGUUAUUCCUUGUAUAUGUCUUUGAUGUUGAGAAAUGUCCAGGGGAUAAACGGUUUUUGCUUGACACUGGAGAUAAGAUAAUGGGAAAACUAAAGGGUUCCCCUCUUGCAGCAAAGACCGUUGGUAGAUUACUGAGGACAGACCCUAGUUUGGCUCAUUGGAGAAGGGUCCUAAACAGUAAACAAUGGGCGAAACAGACCAAUGGAAUUAUGCUUGCCUUGGAGCUUAGCUAUGGCUUUCUCCCUUUCCAUUUGCAACGGUGUUUUUCCUAUUCUGCAUUAUUUCCUGAAGAUUACCGUUUCAGAAGCCGUGAGCUCAUCAGCCUAUGGAUCGGACUAGAUAUUUUGACACCUUCCGAUCAAAACCCAACCUUUGAAGGCAUAGGUCUGAGCAUUUUGAAUGAUUUAGUCAUCCAUGGAUUUUUCAGAGAAUAUAAAACUGAUGGUGGUCUCCGAUAUGUUAUGCAUGAUUUACUGCAUGAGUUGGCAUUGAAGGUUGCAUCACAUGAUUGUCUUCGUUUUCGUCUCCCUGAUGUUGGAUCGGUAGAAAUUAAGCCAUCCACCCGACACUUGUCUAUAAGCAUAGAGAACUUGGGUGAAUAUAAUGGUCAAAAAUUAAAGAGGGAAUUGGAAAAACUGAAGACAAGAUUGAAGGUUGAACAUUUGCAAACACUGAUGUUAUUUGGAGCAAUGGAUGAAGGUUUUGCUAAGAUAUUUGGUGAUUUUCUCAGGGAAGCAAAUGCUCUUCGUGUUCUUUAUUUGCCCCUCCUGAAGUAUCCCGUGGAGUCCAUGGUACAUAAUUUUUCAGGACUUGUCCACCUACGAUUCCUAUGUGUAGGGUGUUUACCAAUUAACAUCUCUAAAUUUUAUCAUCUAAGGGUUCUAGAUCUUAAGUCAUGGUCUGGCAGUGGUGAUUUUCCUGAAGACACGAGCAACCUUGCAAAAUUGUGCCAUUAUUAUACCCCAAGAGAUGAUAAGCUUCAUUAUGAUAUAUGUAAUGUGGGAAAACUUCAGCUCUUGGAAAAGUUGAAGGUAUUUCGGGUCAAUAAAAAAAAUAAAGGAUUUGAACCAAAGCAACUAGAGCCAUUGACCAAGCUAUGGGAGCUUGGCAUCUACAACCUUGAGAAAAUACAUACAAAAAAAGAAGCAGCUCAAGCAAAACUGAUUGAGAAAAAAUAUUUGAGGAGGUUAACAUUGGAUUGGGAUAGUAAGCGAUCUAGUGAUGAGCCUGGUGUGGAAACAAUGGUUCUUGAGUGCUUUCGACCACAUGAAAAUCUUGAAGUGUUGUGCAUUAGAGGGCACAAAGGCCCCACUUGUCCAACAUGGCUGGGUGAUGAGCUUGCUGUUGAAGCACUACAAUCUCUUUGUCUUGUUGGUGUUUCUUGGAAGGUUUUCCCUUCUUUACAGAACCUGGGGGAUCUUUGUGAGCUUGAGAUACAAGACUGUCCAGAAUUCUCGUCCGUGAUUCCCGCCUCCUGGAUUGAGAGUUUGCACCGCAUCACGAUUGAAUGUGUCAAGCUACUAAAGAGGUUUGCAUACUCAAGAUCAUCGAAUGGAGCACAACUGGAAAUCAUUGGAUGGGGUGAUCUGCAAAGCUUAGACCAAGUGUUAGUUUUCGAUAAAGAAACAGGUCUUGAGAAGCUGACACUCGAGAGAUGCCCACCUUUGGAGUUGAAGCACCUUCUGAUGCUAACCUCGCUGAAGACACUGAUUGUAAGGCAUUCAGAUGGUCUGGCUGGUCUGGCUGGUCUGGCUGGACCACUAGGAGGUCUGGGUGAUGUGGAAUGGCAGCUCCCUGUUGAGCACAUCGAGAUCUGCCACUUAAAUGGUACUAAUAGUUGGAAUGAAUUGACAGAGCUCUUCCCACACCUCCCAAAGCUCUCCAAAUUGGAGAUACGGGAUUGUAAAAACAUAAAACAGCUGGUAGUGGGGGUGGAUCUGCGACAAACAGCAUCAGAGAUGGGGGGAGGUGAAAUAACAGCAGCAACAGAGGAAGAGGGCGAUGGAGUGCUGCUCUUCCCAGCUCAUCUCUGUGACUCACUACAGAAAUUGAAGUUCCUUUUCUGCCCAGAGCUGGUCCUGGUGAACCCGCCAACUCUUGUUCCUGGAGGAGGAUGGCUCCAAGCCUUGCGAUCCCUCCAGAGAUUAAGCAUAAAGUAUUGCCCAAAGUUUCUAUCCACCUUCUCGUUUUCCAGUCACAUUUUCCCUUCCUCCCUGCAAUUCCUGGAGCUUACAAAAUUAGAAGGGAUGGGGACACUAGAGCCUCUCUCAAACCUUUCUUCUCUUACCAGAUUAGUAUUGGAAUUUUGUGGAAAGGAUCUGAAAUGUCAGGGAUUGCAGUCUCUCCUUACCACCGGGGGCCAGCUCAAUGAAUUGGAAGUCAGGGGAAGCCAUAUAUUCUUUGUUAAUUGGAAUCCAAAUCCCAGACGGACUUUGGAGGAUGUUGAAGGAGGAGAAGAGCAGCCAACACAGCUUGUUUCAUCCACACUGCGGAAGCUUUGCACAGAUGACACAGCAGGGCUCCUUGCUGCACCAAUCUGCAGCUUCCUUUCUUCCUCUCUCACCAAGCUGAAACUUCAUGGGUAUGGGCAUGAAGGGAUGGAGCGCUUCAGCAAGGAGCAAGAGGACGCCCUUCAGCUCCUCUCCUCCCUCCAGAAACUUGAGUUUAGGCAUUUCCGCCAUCUUCAGCAAAUCCCUGCAGGGCUAUGCAACCUUACCAGCCUCAAGAUAUUAUCAAUCAACCACUGUCCUGCCGUCUCGUCAUUGCCCAGCGAUGGCCUCCCCAAAUCACUGGAAAAGCUAGAUGUCUACGACUGCAGCGAGGUGCUAAAACGGCAGUGCAGGUGGAUGUUGGGAACCAUCCCCAAAAUCAUAAGAGGAUGA